UUUCCCGAGGCCUCUGAUUGGUCAGCUUGCACAGAGCGGAGUCCGACGAGGGAAGAUGGCGGGCCGCAGGCUCGCGGGGACCCUCUGAUGGAGCAGUGGGUGCCUGUGACCCCUGAGACCCUCUCAGAGGCGCUGAUAUGUGCCGAAAUGCCCACUCCAAACCGGGCCCCGCACUGUCUGCAGCCACAGAAGAGAACCGCAUGCUUCACAACAGAGCUGCAUAGUGUCACAGGUGGUGAUGUGAAAGUAUCCCAGAACUCGAGAGCAAGAGAGAAAGAGGGACACCGAUCCUGAGACACAGAAUACCUCCGUGUUGGGUCCCCAUCUCCCACUGGCUACCUUCCAUGGUGUGCAGUCUUAAAACUGAAACAUGUGCCCAGGACAAGACGAGAGUGGCAUUAACACUGCAGUACUAGAUGAGACCUCUUCCAGGUCAAUUUAAUUCCCAAGAAUCGAGGCCAGAUCACAUGGAAACAUCUUGUUGCUUUGAUAGAGAUGCUUUUAACCUAAUGUCACGUUUCUCCGCUUGGGACUUCUCUGUGUCUCUUCUGCCUCUCAUACAUUCUUAGCUGUUCACAUUCUGGCAGUGAGGACAAGUAGUUUAGAGAGGGACAUGAGCACCAAGAAGAAGCUCAAUGAGGUGCAAAGAAAAGGCAACAGCGACAAUGGUGCUUGUCUCGAGCAUUACUUCCUUGAAAGACACCAGGGAUCCAGCCUUUGGAGAGGAGGAGCCAGAAAGGAACAUCGCUCAUCACAGGCUGUAGUCUCUAACCAUGCGUCUCUUCAGGCCAGGAAACAGGGUUCUUGAUCUCUGUCUUUUGAGACUAUUAGAGUACAAGAUGUGACCUGAAACCUGAGCCUGGUUAUCUCCCUCUCCUGACGUCAGCUUUGCUUUAGCCCAAGCCAGGCUUGCAUGCAGCCUGCUGCACCGGCUGACAUCUGGCAUGGUGGCCUGGACCAGCCUCCACCUACUCGCUUCCACAAUUGGGAUCAUGGGUUCGCAGUGUGAUGGGGUUGGAAGGAACCCUGGAAGGUGUUCUAGCUUAUUAAAUGCCUGAAUUCCCUUCAUGCCAGUCUCGAAAGUUGGUUAUGAUUUCUCCCCAACUGCCUUUGAAGAAAGACAAGAUGAAGGAACUAUGUCAUGGGCUCUGUGCAGAGAUAUCAUGUUAACAAACUCACAUCACUUCUGUGAGUUCUUGCUGUGUUUUUUAACAAUCAACAGAUAAGAAAGUUCAAUGUACAAGAGUGAGAAGUCAUGGGAAGAUUUUGAUAUCCAGUCUUUUUUGGAACACAAAUCUCAUGCUUAUUUACAUGGAAACACUUACAUUUUGAUUCAGGGAACACCAAUUACUUGGCAUGAGUAAAAGAGUUGAUUGAAAGGGUAAGGAGAGCUGGCUGCAAGCUCAGAUCUCUUUGAAAGAGUUUAUGAGUGUGUUUACUUCAGGAAUGCCGAUCCCCUAAACUCAGCAAGACCAAUGAGAUGGAAGAAGCAGCUUGUGGAGACACUGCUUGGAUACAGCCACUGACCUACUCAGCUGGAAGCAGGGAGAGAAGAGGGUGGUGACCCAACUGGAGAUAAGAAUGAAGUAGACUUAGGAGCAGAAGCUGUUGAUUUGGUUCUAAAGACAGGAUGGACGCUUGUGGUUUCUAGCAACCCACCAGUAGACAGGUUUUUAGACACUUGAAAUGUGAAUCUCAACUGAGGACACUGUUUGGGUGGUGCUCAGUCUGUAAGUGGUGGUAAAAACCAUUAACUCCGUUUCAGGAGUCAUGAGAGGUGUAGAAAGAGGAACGGUGAUCAGAAUCUAACAAGAACAACUGCCUUAGGUUGUAGGCUUUCCUAUAGAAGAAACUCACGAACAAUGUUAUCGUAUCGAUGCUGUGCAACCAAAGAAAGCCAUGUUAAUCUGCAGUUCACACACCCUAAGUAUGUUACGUAAUUCUUUUACUCACAAUGAAAUAUGCUAAGGAAAGAAAAUAGACAGAACUUGAAUCCUUACAUCCAAUAAAUUCUCAAUAAAAGCAUAAAAACCUCAAUACCUCCAAUUCCUUUUCAGAAUACGAUGUAGAUCUAUUUAUGUUAACCAUGAGCAGGAAAUGUGACUUUUAAAAAAUUUCUUACCAACAUUGGAGUGAAGUGAACCAAAAGAAAGAG
rnacentral:lncRNA from 1 species